rnacentral:rRNA from 1 species
ACGAACGCUGGCGGCGUGCCUAAUACAUGCAAGUCGAGCGGAAUGAUGAAGAAGCUUGCUUCUUCUGAUUUUAGCGGCGGACGGGUGAGUAACACGUGGGCAACCUACCUUGUAGAUUGGGAUAACUCCGGGAAACCGGGGCGUAAUACCGAAUAAUCCAUUUUGCUUCAUGGCGAGAUGUUGAAAGACGGUUUCGGCUGUCACUACAAGAUGGGCCCGCGGCGCAUUAGCUAGUUGGUAGGGUAAUGGCCUACCAAGGCGACGAUGCGUAGCCGACCUGAGAGGGUGAUCGGCCACACUGGGACUGAGACACGGCCCAGACUCCUACGGGAGGCAGCAGUAGGGAAUCUUCCACAAUGGACGAAAGUCUGAUGGAGCAACGCCGCGUGAGUGAAGAAGGUUUUCGGAUCGUAAAACUCUGUUGUAAGGGAAGAACACGUACGAGAGUAACUGCUCGUACCUUGACGGUACCUUAUUAGAAAGCCACGGCUAACUACGUG